rnacentral:rRNA from 1 species
GAUCCUGGCUCAGGAUGAACGCUGGCGGCGUGCCUAACACAUGCAAGUCGAGCGAAGCGAUCGGGAUGAAGUUUUCGGAUGGAUUCCUGAUUGACUGAGCGGCGGACGGGUGAGUAACGCGUGGGUAACCUGCCUCAUACAGGGGGAUAACAGUUAGAAAUGACUGCUAAUACCGCAUAGGCGCACGGUACCACAUGGUACGGUGUGAAAAACUCCGGUGGUAUGAGAUGGACCCGCGU